rnacentral:rRNA from 1 species
AUACGGAGGGUGCAAACGUUGUUCGGAAUUACUGGGCGUAAAGCGCGCGUAGGCGGUUUGUUAAGUCAGAUGUGAAAGUCCACAGCUCAACUGUGGAAGUGCAUUUGAAACUGGCAGACUUGAGUACUGGAGGGGGUGGUGGAAUUCCCGGUGUAGAGGUGAAAUUCGUAGAUAUCGGGAGGAAUACCGGUGGCGAAGGCGACCACCUGGCCAGAUACUGACGCUGAGGUGCGAAAGCGUGGGUAGCAAACGGGAUUAGAAACCCUAGUAGUCC